rnacentral:lncRNA from 1 species
AGGAAUCCUAUCCCAUAAUUGGAAACAGGAGAUGCAUCUACUUGUCAUUAACUCAAAAAAAAAAAAAAAAACUACAUCUAGCAAGAAGCCAAUCCCAUAAUUGGAAACAGGAAAUGCAUCCACUUGUCAUUAUUCCGAACCAGAGAGAAAGAGAGCGACCUGAAAGGGAGUGAUGGUGGUGGCGGAAUUUGCAAAUGGACGACGAGAGAGCAAGACAGUGCAUUGCAGCCAUUCUCGUACCGAGAUGGAGAAAAGAGAGGGAGACAGAUAGAGAGGAAGACAGGAAAAAUAGCAAGCAGUGGCAGAGGAACAGAGAAAGAGAAUGAAGCGAUUGGGCUGCGGUGUGUCGCAAAGAGAGCCAUCCAUCCAUCACCAAUUUGAACCAUCCGAUCUCAAACUUUUUG